GUAGGGGGCAAGCGUUAUCCGGAUUUACUGGGUGUAAAGGGAGCGUAGACGGCGAAGCAAGUCUGGUGUGAAACCCCGGGGCUCAACCUCGGGCCUGCAUUGGAAACUGUUUUGCUUGAGUGCCGGAGAGGUAAGCGGAAUUCCUAGUGUAGCGGUGAAAUGCGUAGAUAUUAGGAGGAACACCAGUGGCGAAGGCGGCUUACUGGACGGCAACUGACGUUGAGGCUCGAAAGCGUGGGGAGCAAACAGGAUUAGAUACCCUGGUAGUCCACGCCGCAAACGAUGAAUGCUAGGUGUUGGGGAGCAAAGCUCUUCGGUGCCGCCGCAAACGCAUUAAGCAUUCCACCUGGGGAGUACGUUCGCAAGAAUG
rnacentral:rRNA from 1 species